CGGCCAGCACACUCAACAACAAGAUCCUCAGCAUGUUUGCAGUCUGUCUGGUCUUUCUGCACUCUUCCAUCAUCCAUAUAUAUGCCCGCAGAAGUUCACAGCGCUGUACAGAACAGGUGUUUGACUCACAGCUGAUGCCCACAGGUCACAUGCUGGUCACUGAAGUGCCUUCAAGGAGCAUCUGAUCAGAUGGAGUUCCCAUUGACAUGCAUUAUACAACUGACAGACCGCAACGGUUGGAGUUAAAAAUCAUCAUUUGUGUUCUACUGAAGAAACAAAGUCACCUACAUCUUGGAUGCCCUGGGGCCGGUCUCUCUUCCGCCGUGUCCUGUCGUCAUGAGAGUGUCAGCAGAGGCUGCUGUGUACCGGCACAUUCAGUUUUCCAUCAGAUAACUGGAAACUUGACGCCACAUCGGGAGCUUUUUUCAUCACUGAUAGCGCCUCGCUGUCUGGAUAGCUGCAAAGAACUCUGCAGGUCCCGUGGGGUUCGAGUAUGCGCACCGAACGGACGCUCUCCAUCACACACACUCCGUGACCCCUGCAGACAGCGUCCCCUGUGCGCUCUGAUGCAGGCACACGCCGUCGCGGGCAGGGGAAAGCUCUCAGAGUGGACGCGCUCGUCUCCGCGCGUCAUGUCAACAGCCACAUGUUCCCCGAGAGACACGCCACAUUCACAGAGGUGGUCUUGAGUGAUGUCACAGGUCAGGGUCAUGUGACCAUAUUGACAGCAGCCAAUGCGAGACCGAGAGCAAGGUGGAGGCAGCAGUCAGUGACCCUGAAACUGCUCAGGCGACAAAACCAAUCAUCUCUCUCUGUUUGUCUGUCCAUCCAUCCAUCCAUCCAUCCAUCCAUCUGUCCAUCCAUCCACGUAUCCACCCAUCCAUCCGUCCAUCCAUCCACCCAUCCAUGGAUCCACGCAUCCACCCAUCCAUCGAUCCAUCCCUCCCUCCAUCCGUCCGUCCAUCCAUCCAUCAAUCCAUCCCUCCGUCCGUCCAUCCUUCCAUCCAACCAUCCAUCCAUUUAUCUGUCCAUCCAUCCAGCCGUCCACCUAUCCAUCGAUCCACCCAUCCACCCAUCCAUCCACCCAUCCAUCCAUCCAUCCAUCCAUCUAGUCGUCCACCCAUCCAUCCAUCCAUCCAUCCAUCAUCCAUCCAUCCAUCCAUCCAUACACCCACCCACCCACCCAUCCAUCAAUCCAUCAAUCCAUCCAUCCCUCCGUCCGUCCGUCCGUCCUUCCAUCCAUCAAUCCAUCCCUCCGUCCAUCUGUCCAUCCAUCCACCCA